rnacentral:rRNA from 1 species
AUACGGAGGGUGCAAACGUUAAUCGGAAUUACUGGGCGUAAAGCGCGCGUAGGUGGUUUAGUAAGUCGGAUGUGAAAGCCCUGGGCUCAACCUGGGAAUGGCAUUCGAUACUGCCUGACUAGAGUAUGGUAGAGGGAAGUGGAAUUUCCGGUGUAGCGGUGAAAUGCGUAGAUAUCGGAAGGAACAACAGUGGCGAAGGCGACUUCCUGGGCCAAUACUGACGCUGAGGUGCGAAAGCGUGGGGAGCAAACAGGAUUAGAUACCCCAGUAGUCC